rnacentral:lncRNA from 1 species
UGUCCUGGCAGGUGAUUUCCUGACAGGGUGAUGGUGCCUCUGCUCUCUCCCGCAGAGCCUGCCCCAGAUCUGUGGUGCAGGAGAAGGGCAGGCGUUUGCUUCUGCUCUGCAGCAGCUCUACACGGCAGUGACGCAGCAGGAGUCCAAGCAGGCUCGGAAACGGCAGCACUCGGAGGACACCGAGGGCCCAGCGCCUGCUGCAGAAACACCAGGGCACCCCCAUCCACCACCUCCAUCCCAGGAGGAUGAAACAGCAUCUUCCAGCGAGGGAACCACGCCGACUUCCUCCCCAGCUCAAAAGCUUCAGCUGCCUGUGGCCAAAGCCAAACCAAAGAAGGCAAAGGGGCUUUUCAGAUGAAAGGUUGCUGCCGAGAGAGGCAGUGCAGAACACCCAUGCAUCCUCUGCCUCCGCUCCUGUGUUUCCUGGUGGACCUGCUCAGCUCAUGGUGCCCUCCCGAGGUGUUUCCAGCCAGGGAGAUGGGGCAUCUCCUUUCUUCAAAAGUGUCUCAGGAUCCUCUUUUCUACCUCUUCCCUGGUUCAGAGCUUGCCCAGGCUGCCUCGUGGUGGAGCCAGCGCUGGACCUGGGGAGAGUGGGAGGGAUGCUGCCAAGUGGGUGUGGGACAGCCGGGGCUCUGGCAGGGCUGUGGGGUUUGGCUGCUCUCAUGUGAGUUUGCAAUAAAGGGCUGUGUCUGGGUGAGAU